rnacentral:rRNA from 1 species
UGCUCACAACACAGCCACACACAMGGCGUGACCAGUGUUGUACGUGAGCCCGGAGCUUGCGCCUGCACCAAGAAUUAACCGAGAAAUCAGGAUCAGCUCUGUCAGAAGCCAGGUGACGCAUGCGCCACCAGGCCGACGGGUUUGCCGUAGCUCCCCCGCCACAGUCUUGCUUUCACUUCGCCUUCGGGUUUUGGGAGACCCUUAGACUUGCACACAUGCUAUACUCCUUGGCCCGUGUUUCGAGACGUGACCGAUGGUGCUGGACUUAACACCACUCAGACCAACGCCCGGCUGAGAGACCUUGCAUCAUGCAGUAGGGUUCACACCGCCUGGGACUGACGCUUCCGGCACAGUGGAAGCGUUUGGGCGUCGGUCUGGCCAGAAAGCAGCUCGUCGCAAGAGGAUCAUACCAGGUUUAUCUCGGUCGCCGCCCGACCCAAGACUAGACACGCGUGUGAGUGCAGACGGGCUUACAACUUCAACAACGCAUCGUUGCCAUCGUCCUGGAUCCGCGAUCGGCAGUUUGAGCCUGUGGGUGACCUCACAACGUGCUGUGGUGGGCAUAACCACAAUAGUCCAAGAGCUCUGAACGUCCAUUCAAAAGGGGACAGCCGGAAGCCCUUCGGCCGAAGCCUAAGACCUCCAAACCGAACCCCCGCACGACAGCUGGUCGGCAUACUCAAAUGCUUCGCCUGACGAGCGAGACUCAAGGUCUUUAGAACACCACAAGGAUGAACCGCACCUGUGGAAGCCUUCCAAGCUCCAUUGGCUUAUACUCUGAGCGGUUUC